rnacentral:rRNA from 1 species
GAUGAACGCUGGCGACGUGCCUAAUACAUGCAAGUCGAACGGAGAGUGUUAGCUUCGGUUGAUAACUCUUAGUGGCGAACGGGUGAGUAACGCGUUGGUGACCUGCCCCGAAGAGGGGGAUAACAGCUCGAAAGGGCUGCUAAUACCCCAUGAGGUGCUAGAGGUUAGAGGCUCUAGCAAGAAAGGAGCAAUCCGCUUCGGGAGGGGCCUGCGUCCCAUCAGCUAGUUGGUAGGGUAAAAGCCUACCAAGGCGAAGACGGGUAGGGGGCCUGAGAGGGUGGCCCCCCACACUGGCACUGAAACACGGGCCAGACACCUACGGGUGGCAGCAGUAGGGAAUAUUGCACAAUGGGCGAAAGCCUGAUGCAGCAACGCCGCGUGCGCGAAGAAGGCCUUCGGGUUGUAAAGCGCUUUUCUGGAGGAAGAGGAAGGACGGUACUCCAGGAAUAAGGAUCGGCUAACUACGUG